AAAGGGAAUCAUCUACUAAGGAUUUGAAAAAUGAAUUCGAUGAGAGAGUAAUUGAAUAGCUGCAAUUCAAAGCUGAGAUAUGCAUGACACCAUAUAACAACUGUAAAUGCCUAAAUUUGCCUGGGCCCAUCAAAAAAAUAAACCAAGAAAUAGAAUAAAAAAUAAUAAGCCCAAAAAAUUUACAAGCCUAAAAGAAAAAUUAUUACAAACCCAAAAUACAAAACCCUAGCCCAAAGGUUACAAGCCCACAACCUAAACUAAUUCAGAAACCCUAAGUUCCCCAUGUGCGCCGCACCCCUCCCCUCGAUCGCA
rnacentral:lncRNA from 1 species